UUGCACGCUGGCGGCAGGCCUAACACAUGCACGUCGAGCGGAUGAAGGGAGCUUGCUCCUGGAUUCAGCGGCGGACGGGUGAGUAAUGCCUAGGAAUCUGCCUGGUAGUGGGGGAUAACGUCCGGAAACGGGCGCUAAUACCGCAUACGUCCUGAGGGAGAAAGUGGGGGAUCUUCGGACCUCACGCUAUCAGAUGAGCCUAGGUCGGAUUAGCUAGUUGGUGGGGUAAAGGCCUACCAAGGCGACGAUCCGUAACUGGUCUGAGAGGAUGAUCAGUCACACUGGAUCUGAGACACGGUCCAGACUCCUACGGGAGGCAGCAGUGGGGAAUAUUGGACAAUGGGCGAAAGCCUGAUCCAGCCAUGCCGCGUGUGUGAAGAAGGUCUUCGGAUUGUAAAGCACUUUAAGUUGGGAGGAAGGGCAGUAAGUUAAUACCUUGCUGUUUUGACGUUACCAACAGAAUAAGCACCGGCUAACUUCGUG
rnacentral:rRNA from 1 species